rnacentral:piRNA from 1 species
UCCUACGCCAAUGGUGAGACCGCAGGUUGCC